ACAUUGCACCCAUUUCAGCUUUAUCAUCAUUCAUGACUCGAGAGAGAUAUAGAUUCAUAAUUGCUCAGUGGGACGUUUGAGAUAUUUACCCGACGACGUCAGAGUAUGAACACUUAGAGUUUUAAUCAUUACUUAAAAUAUUUAGUUAAAAUAUUUGCUUUAGUUAUGAAUGAAAAAUCAAGAAAUUGCAACUCCUUGAAAUUAUAGAUGCGGAUUUGGAAUCAAUUGUUGAGCGUAUUCUUUCCGUUUUGCGCGAUAAUCGCUAUGGGAACAUAUCGUAAUUUGUUAUAAUUAGAUUGUUUAAAACGAUCUAUCAAGUAAAACAGUCUUUCAAUUUAUUACAAAAACAGCUAGAAAUCUGCAUAAUACGGACAGUUAUAAAGCACAAGACUCGAGAUGCUGGCAUCAGAAAGUGUAAAUGUUUCUUACAAGAAGGUUAAGAAGAAGAAAAUAAAAUGAAGUUGGUUAUUUUGUGUGCACUUUUGGCCGUAAUGGUUGUCUUGCCACAAUCAGCCUACAGUGAUGAUGAAAGUGAAGCGAUUGGUAUCACCGACCCUGCGUUUCAUAAGGAUCAGAAGAAUAGGAAAAACAAUGCAAGAAAACGUUACCGUGUGCGUUUAGAUUCUCUAGCUCGUUCUUAUCCUCGUUUUCGUGCUAAGUUCAAUCCUCGUAUGGAAACGUAGGUAUCGUGGAGGCGCUGGGGUUAGCUGGAUGCUAAUUCCUUAUUCAAGAAGUGACAGUAACAAUGUAGCUAUGUAUGUCGUCGUUGACAAUUCUUUUUACUGUAAUAGCGUAAGUCUGUAGAAAAUAAAACAAAAUUCUGUUUUCGUCACUGAAA